rnacentral:antisense_RNA from 1 species
CUUCAGCGAGCCGAGGAGCAGCGGACGGGUGCGGCCCUGUCCGUAGGUGGCCAGCAGCGCCUGUGCCUC